AGCGAACGCUGGCGGCAGGCUUAACACAUGCAAGUCGAGCGGGCAUCCUUGUGGUGUCAGCGGCAGACGGGUGAGUAACGCGUGGGAACGUGCCCUUCGGUUCGGAAUAACUCAGGGAAACUUGAGCUAAUACCGGAUACGUGCGAGAGCAGAAAGGUUUAUCUGCCGAAGGAUCGGCCCGCGUCUGAUUAGCUAGUUGGUGAGGUUACGGCUCACCAAGGCGACGAUCAGUAGCUGGUCUGAGAGGAUGAUCAGCCACACUGGGACUGAGACACGGCCCAGACUCCUACGGGAGGCAGCAGUGGGGAAUAUUGGACAAUGGGGGCAACCCUGAUCCAGCCAUGCCGCGUGAGUGAUGACGGCCUUAGGGUUGUAAAGCUCUUUUCGCCGGGACGAUAAUGACGGUACCGGAGGAAUAAGCCCCGGCUAACUUCGU
rnacentral:rRNA from 1 species